GAAAUAGUAGAUAGUAACAAAAAUAAUACCACUAAUAAUAGGACAGUGACUACGACAAAUAAUUGCAUAACUUGACAUUUAAGUAGUUACAAGAGCAACAUUAUAACUACUACCUAUUAACCUUCUAUCUAAUUAUCUCUUCUCAAUACUUAUUCGAUUUACCUCUACAUGAAACUUUUAUAGGUUACAAUGUAUGUAUUAAUUUGAGUAGUAUUUGUGACCUCUUUAGAGUGAUUUCUCAUCCUAUAAUUGGAAUGCUAUUUGCCUUUGAAAGACGAAAAAUUCUUUCCCCUUUCUAUAUCUCGUCUAUAAUGUCUUAGUUUGUAGUGUUCCACUUACUAUUAAUUUACAACACUAAAUAAGUUC
rnacentral:misc_RNA from 1 species